CCCCUCUCAGGGUCACAUCUGGAGAGUUUCUAGUACUCUACUAGUCCCGACUAUGGGAAGCAGAGUAAAGUAGAGGCAUACCCAUUCCAUUCCUAGCUUGAGCAGUGGCUAGUGAAUGUAAGAUAAUCUGCUACAAGU